GACGAACGCUGGCGGCGUGCUUAACACAUGCAAGUCGAACGAAAAGAGGGAAAGAGCUUGCUCUUUCCGGAAUUGAGUGGCAAACGGGGGAGUAACACGUAAACAACCUGCCUUCAUGAUGGGGACAACAGACGGAAACGACUGCUAAUACCGAAUAAGUUCCAAGAGCCGCAUGGCCCAUGGAAGAAAAGGUGGCUUCUACCUGUAAGCUUCUCCUGAAGAGGGGUUUGCGUCUGAUUAGCUGGUUGGAGGGGAACGGCCCACCUGGCUACGAUCAUGAUCUUGGUGGAGGGAGAGCUGCCACUUGUAGCUGAAAUGUUGUGUACUUGUUUGGGUUUGGUUGUUGUGAUUUUCUGUGUUGGUUUAUGUUGGGGUGUUUUUUGUCGGUGGUUUUAGCGUUGUGUUGUUUGUGUGUUUGUUUGGUUAGAUUGGUGGUUGAUUUGACUUGUUGUGUUUUUUGGUUGAUGGUAAU
rnacentral:rRNA from 1 species